UACGUAGGGUCCGAGCGUUGUCCGGAAUUAUUGGGCGUAAAGGGCUCGUAGGCGGUCCGUCACGUCGGGAGUGAAAACUCAGGGCUCAACCCUGAGCGUGCUUCCGAUACGGGCGGACUAGAGGUAUGCAGGGGAGAACGGAAUUCCUGGUGUAGCGGUGGAAUGCGCAGAUAUCAGGAGGAACACCGGUGGCGAAGGCGGUUCUCUGGGCAUUACCUGACGCUGAGGCGCGAAAGCAUGGGGAGCGAACAGG
rnacentral:rRNA from 1 species